UACGGAGGGUGCGAGCGUUAAUCGGAAUUACUGGGCGUAAAGCGCGCGUAGGCGGUUUGUUAAGUCAGCUGUGAAAGCCCCGGGCUCAACCUGGGAACUGCAGUUGAUACUGGCCGACUGGAGUGCGAGAGAGGGAGGUAGAAUUCCAGGUGUAGCGGUGAAAUGCGUAGAUAUCUGGAGGAAUACCGGUGGCGAAGGCGGCAUCCUGGACCGACAUUGACGCUGAGGAGCGAAAGCUAGGGGAGCAAACGGG
rnacentral:rRNA from 1 species